AGAGCGAACGCUGGCGGCAUGCUUAACACAUGCAAGUCGCACGGGCAUUUCGGUGUCAGUGGCGGACGGGUGAGUAACGCGUAGGUAUCUAUCCUUGGGUGGGGGAUAACGGUUGGAAACGACUGCUAAUACCGCAUGAUAACUGAGGUUUAAAGGCGCAAGUCGCCUGGGGAGGAGCCUGCGUACGAUUAGCUUGUUGGUGGGGUAAAGGCCUACCAAGGCGACGAUCGUUAGCUGGUCUGAGAGGAUGAUCAGCCACAUUGGGACUGAGACACGGCCCAAACUCCUACGGGAGGCAGCAGUGGGAAUAUUGGACAAUGGGCGAAAGCCUGAUCCAGCAAUGCCGCGUGUGUGAAGAAGGUCUUCGGAUUGUAAAGCACUUUCGACAGGGACGAUGAUGACGGUACCUGUAGAAGAAGCCCCGGCUAACUCGUGCCAGCAGCCGC
rnacentral:rRNA from 1 species